CCCUUAGAUGUCCUGGGCUGCACGCGCGCUACACUGAUGUGUCCAGUAAGCACCUAACCUCUUCCGAAAGGAACGGGUAACCUUUGCAAAGCACAUCGUGAUGGGGAUAGAUUAUUGCAAUUAUUAGUCUUGAACGAGGAAUUCCUAGUAAGCACAAGUCAUCAGCUUGUGUUGAUUACGUCCCUGCCCUUUGUACACACCGCCCGUCGCUCCUACCGAUUGAAUGUUCCGGUGAGCUCUUCGGACUGCGCGGUCUGCAGUUUCUGCGUUCCGUGCGGAAAGUUGCGCAAACCUUAACAUUUAGAGAAAGGAGAAGUCGUAACA
rnacentral:rRNA from 1 species